UCCGCUAGGUAGGUAGGUAGGUACACGAAAUCUGAAUACGAAAUUUUGCACAUUCUAUUGUAUUUUUAAUGAAAUGUAAUGUAGAGAUAUUCGGCCAAAUAUGAAGUUACUUGUGUGUGAUGUGGUUUGACUAAUUCUCUUGUAAAACACGAUGGAUUCUAUUACUCUAGACACGGAGUAUGAAGAUAAAUGGACUAUAAAUGGAGACUGUUCUCCAAUAUCAGACACAAAGUCUGAUGAAAUAAAUCACGCCAAAAAUAUUGAUGAUAUAGCUACGCCUUCAGAGCUUAACUUCGAUCAAGGUAAAGACUUUGAAUUUGAAGACCCUGAAAUCACUGAGAAACGAAAGGACAUUGAAAAAUGUUUAGAUAAUCCUGAUGCUGUUAAUGAUGAGAGAUGGCAGUAUUUUGCUAAGAGCAAAGGUGGAUUAAUAUGUGAUGAAUAUCGAAAACAGAUUUGGCCACUAUUGGUUGGUGUUACAAGAGAAGAGAUGACUGAUCCACCAUCACUGGAUGAAUUGUCAACACACCCUGAAUACAAUCAAGUAGUAUUAGAUGUAAACAGAUCAUUGAAACGAUUUCCCCCUGGCAUUCCAUAUGAACAGAGGGUAGCUCUGCAAGAUCAGCUCACAGUGCUCAUACUGCGAGUUAUAAUGAAGUACCCGCACUUGAAAUAUUAUCAGGGUUACCAUGAUGUAGCGAUCACACUACUGCUGGUUUGCGGCGACCGGGCGUCGUUCCCUCUACUGUGUCGGUUAUCAUAUGGAGAGAAGGCACCCUUAGCACCGUUCAUGCAAACAACCAUGCAGCCUACCCAGCAUCUAUUGAACUACAUGCUGCCCGUCGUGCGAAGAGCCGAUGAACGAUUGGCAGACUGCUUAGAUAAAUCAGGCGUGGGCACUAUGUUCGCGCUGCCCUGGUACCUCACGUGGUUCGGGCACAGCCUCAACCGCUACUCGGACGUGGUGCGCCUGUACGACUACUUCCUGUGCGCUCCGCCGCUGUUCCCCGUGUACGUCACCGCCGCUAUCGUGCUGCAGCGCGCGUCCGACGUGCUCAGCUGCGACGCCGACAUGGCUAUGAUGCACUGCCUGCUGUCGCGGUUACCAGAUGACUUGCCGUUUGAAGACAUUCUAGUGAUUGCCAGCAAACUGUACGACGACAACGAUCCCAAAGACCUGGAGGCUGAGGUCGCAGCUCUGGAGAGGAGGGAAGAAGAACAGCGCAAGAUGGAUGAAGAACGCAUGCGUGUGCGUCGCGCGGGGCGAGCGGGGCGGGUCGACCGCGGCGGUCUGGCCGCGCGGCUGGGUCGCUACGUGCCGCGCGUCAUGCGGCGACCGGGCGGCCGACGUGCGCUCCUGGCCGUGGGCGCGGCGCUACUGGCCGUCGCCGUGUACUACCGGCCCGACAUGUUCAGGUAGCGCCGACUCUAUCAGUUUGUCCUGUUCGCGCUCUAGACUAGCACUCGCGCCGCACGCACACGUUGACCACUGCGCAAACACUACCGGCCUUACUAAUAAACUUCGUAUAAAGUUAUAACUGAGAAUAAACCAAGAAUAUGAAAAAUGUUGACUAUAUCGCUGACAACACUGUCACAUGCACAACGAUAAUUCUAAAGUUUUCCGUAUCAGGCAGCCUUAAACGUCCAAAUAAACCAAUCAAUCAUAAGCAAUAUGUAUAUUUGUAAACAUAUUACAUAUUCAAGGUUUAUUCUCAGAUAUAACUUUAUACCAAGUUUAUUAAUUCUCGUAAUAAGGUCGUAAGUCUCCCAAUAUUGCAAACGUCAAUUGAUUGAUUAUAAGACUGUACUUAUAAUAUUAACAGUAUUAGUCGUGGUUUUAUAUCGGCCGUGGUUUUAUAUUUUUUUUCAAAACGAUAUCGAGAUUGGUUUCUAAGUUGUUCAAAUAACAUGGGCAAUCAAUUUUAUGUACCCAGAAAUCACUUUCAUGAGAGUUUUACAUAAAUAUACAAUAUAAUAUUACUUUAGGUUUCUGUGACUAAGCAUGCAAAACAAACAAAGUGAACAGUUACAAAAAAUGAAGCUACAUAAAAAUUGCUUCACAUAACAACAUCAAUAUAUUUUAUACUUGUAUGGAAUAAGAAGGACUGGAUGUGCCAAACUACUUACAAAGAUAACAGUUGAAGAAACUAAAAUAAUACCUAUGGUUUGAACAUAAUAAAACUAGGUUGUCAUAGGUGGCCAUCUUGUAGGUAGUGACAUGAUGCUGUUGCAGUUGAAAUAAAGUUUCACAAAUGAGGACACAGUUCAUUAGAUUUUUUACAGUGACCUUGUGUGGUACCCAAGUAUCGAGCUUAUUUGAAAUAGCAUUGAAAAAACUGUAACCAACUUUGUGUUAUUCUUACACUGCAUUAGGACUAUCGUGUCUUGGAUUGCAUUUUUUCUUUUUUUAAUUGUAUUUUUAUUCAUUAAUUUCAUUCAUCCUGACUCAAAAAGUAACAAAUGAAAAUUGGUGGAAAUAGCAUUUUGCCAAUUAUUUGUUGUUUCAACCUUUAUAAUGUCAUCAUACAUACAUACAUAAAAUCACACCUCUUUCCCGUAGGGAUAGGCACAGACCACUUCUUUCCACUUGCUACGAUCCUUACAAACUUGUUAUGUUUCGUCCACAUUCAUUAUUCCUUUCAUACAUGCUCUCAAAUGUCAUCAAAGUACCCAUAAACCUAAAAGCUAGCUACAACUAGUACAUCCAAACAAAUUGUAUUACAAGUUUGUACAUACUUAAUGCUAAAUUACGUCUAAUGUGGAUGGUUGGAUCUUCAUCAUGAUUUUUUUUUCAAUUUCACCAUAGAGAAAAGCAUUCAUAAAGCUUACAAUAAAAAAUCAUCAAACAAUAAUGUUUUGUAGUCUAUAACGCCUUUUGAAAAACAUUUUACAUUGUUGAACUACACUAAUACCUAAUUCCCUUAAUUAAUUAUCUUAAACGCAGGAAAUUAGCAUAGUUAGUUUAGCUGGGCUGAUUACACACUAACCCCCUUAUUCAUAAUGGUCAGCUAACUUUUAACAGCCGCUAAGGAGUGUUUUUUCUUAUUCUGACUUAGGUCAAUAGAAAAAGACAGGGUGAGAAUUAGCAAUGCUUUAGGUUAGCAGACUAUUAUGAAUGAGGGAGUUAGCUUCUUGAUUGGGCCAUGAUGCGUUUUUAAAAAAUGUCUUCUUACUCCAACCAGCUCAGAUCAUUCCAGAAGUCUAGCAGUCUUUUUAAGUUUCUGCAGGCAUCCGAAAGCGAUGCUGCCGAUUGGAAUAUAUUUGGUGCCCGUUGUUCGGCCACACUGCUGCACUCCAUAAGCACGUGUUCUGGCGUUUCCUCUGCCUCCAUGCAUCCUGUUCACAAGAGGCUGUCUGUUACACGUAUGAUAGGAAAUUAGCACAUUGUAAACACCUAAGUGCCUACUUAUGAGUUUAUGUUGUAAUUAUUAGGUAUGCAACUAAUUUGCAAAAAUAAUUUGCCAAUAUUUUGUAUAUGCAGUCUUAUUUUCUCUCAUAUGCGAUUUUAUGUUCCCAGAUAUUCUAUCCCAAUUUAUUUACAACUAUAAAAAUCCCCCGAUCAAUUUUUAUAGUAAAACUAAUCAGCUUGGAACAUAAUAACCGCAUCGAUAUAGGUUCAUUCGUUCCGGUGCUAAUUUUGCGUCGGUGGUAUAAACAGUCUACCAAUAAUCCUUUUUUUUUUAAAUUCUGAUAUUGGUUCCUAUUAAAAACCUUAGUUUUUUGGAUUUGAUUUGCUAUGGCUCUAUGUCUUUUUACUAAUAUAUUCAUCUGGGAACAAAUAAAAAAAGGACUAAAUUGGUCAAUGUGAACGGCGACGUUGAAGUGCAUUUCUAGGUUGCGACGUGUUAAGGAGCCUGUUCACUAUAAGGUAACGAACGCUACGGUAAGGUAUGUACUAUGAACGUACUGAGAUCGUGUCAGGCAAUGAAAAAUUAGAACCUGGUCCCUCAACCACCAACCGCGUGUCAUGCACGAAGCUUCUAUAACUGUCAUAUGGUUCGCUUGUGAUACUUUCUAGUGUUUCUUUCCGUGUAUGUUACGUUAAUAAGCAUAAAAGGCAUUUAUUUUCUAAAAAAUUUAUUCCUUUACAAAUUUUUUUGAUGUCACUUCUAACUCUGUCACCGUCAAAUAAAAUGGCGCUCUGAGAGAGAAUAUAGGCGUUUAUAGCACGGUCAUGGUAUGGCGUGGUGUAGUGAGCAGACUCCUUUAAACCCUAAAAGUGAAGCAUACACACUACGAAGAAGCCUUAUUUAAUCACGCUUUGCAAAUUUUUUAAAUGUAACUUUGUAUCUACUCAAAAUUUCAUACAAAUGAGCAGUAUGAAAAGUAGGUUAAAUUCGAGGCGAUUUUCGAUGCUUUUACAUUUUAAAUGAUUAUAUACGCCUUGCUUUUAGGGUUGAGAUAUUUUAUCAUUGGACAAACUGAUAGCUCAUUAUGAACGAUUAUUGAUCUUAUUUCAGUAGCAUUAAGGUAUAUUAUUGUUUAGGGUAAGGGAAUAUUUAUAUGAAAUUAUUUCCAUGCAUUAGUAACGUUAUCAGUUGUAGGUAUGUUUGUAUAUAAAAGCGUUUAUACUAUAGUAGGGAUGCACAAUGUUUCGCCUUUUAGUUAUAUAGCAUAUUGUUAUUAUGCAAAAACAAAAUUGUUUAUACCUCUAAAUGUUAUGAAAAAAAAUCAAUUAUUACCAAAUUUAUAAAAUAAGUGAGACAUGGCAACCAUUUUACAUUCCAGCUUAAUUGGAUACUUACUUGGAAAAAAAAACAUUUUUAUAACUUAAAUUGUUUUUUUUACAAUUGCGUUGAAUGAAAUUAACCAUUGUUUUGUAUAGGAUAAUUUGUGAAAUAAACUAUGAUAUGGAUAGCAAUGGAAUCUAUAUGUUUAUGCAAAUUUAAAUGCUUGUAUAUGUUAUUAAACCUUGUUAAUUAAUUAAUGAAAAAAAAAUUGUGAAAAGUUUUAUCAACAAAUGGACCUAUUUAAAAUAUGUUAGAAUGUGUGUUUUAUUGUGAUAUUUGGAAAACUAUGAAAUUAUUAUAACACUAUUUAUUUAAUUUAUUAUGUCUCAUGGUUCAAAAUUCUCAAUCACACCACCUUAUGGUGAGCAUCAUCAUCUUCGAUCCAAUACUCUUAAGAUUUAUUCAUCAUCAGAGACUAAUAAUCACUCCUUUCAAUAAAACUAUUAAAACUCAAAUUCUAUUUUUUGGAUAUUAACAUAAUGUACGAUCUUUUUGUAACUUCCAGCGAUGUACUGCUGGAAAUAUAAGAUUAGUUAAAAUUAAAUUUUAAUCCAUUUCUGGAAAUGGAGCAAUAGGUGUUCAAAAAUGAUUACAAAUCAUUUUCUCAAAGUGACAACAUUUACUGCCAGUUUAUGAUCACUGUUUAAAGAUCACUAAUUAUAAUUAGCCCAUUCAAGGGUUUUUGGCAGUGUUAUAAGCGAAGUAUACCAGAUUAUUGGUAAAUGCAGGUACAGUCAGCAUCAAACAUGGCAACACCCAUCGUUACCAUACAAAUCUAUUCACCGAAAGUGAAUAGAUAGUAGUCAAAUAUAUCGGGACACCAUAAACGUCAUAAACAUAGCCAAAAUAUAGAACCACCCAAAGUGUUCAAAAAUAUGGAUACAUUUGUGGAAAAUGAACUUUCGGCGAAAGAUUAUAGGAUUUAAGUUAGAUUGUCGACAAACUUAAUCGCUAUUUUUUUGACGCCGCGGCCGGCUGUACCUACAUAACUUUGACAAUCUCCUGGGACACUAACACUAUCAUAUGAUGUCGUUUAAUGAUAAAUUAUCCAUACCUCUGUCUGUUUUGGUAUAUUUUUGGUCGUUAUUACUCUUUAUAAUUAAGUUUUUAAUAAAAUAAUGGAAAUAAUCGCGGUUAUGUCAGAAUGUUUAUUGUGUAUAAUAUGGUCGCGUCAAAUGUGAUAUUAAUUUUUUAUUGUUUAGUGUUAAGUCAUUUCAUUUAUUGUCGUUAGCUGCUCUGAUUAGUUCUCAUUGCUUUUCAUGUUUGUUCUGCUGAAUAGUUUUAUCGAUAACGGUCUCAGCCAUCACUAAUAUCGAUAAUAGUAUUUGUGUUGUAAUACAAAUGCACAGAGAGUUUCUAUUAGCAUUUCGUUAUUAUUUUGUAUUAAAUUAUUAAAUUAGCUUUAGUUAUUAUAAUAUCUAUGAUUUAAAGUGUAGAAUGCUGAAACUUUUGUAGUAGUAGUACUUAUUUUGUUUAUAAAAUAAAAACUUUAAACUGCAUUUAAAAAUGAGUGUUUUGCAAUUUAAAUUGCAAGUUUUGGUGCUCUUGUAAAAUUAAUCAGUGCGGAAUAUUCAGAAACCAUUAUUUAAACAAUUUGUUAUGUUUUAAAGUGAUAACCCUCACUUCUGGGAUUAAUUAAACAAAUAAAUAAUGAAAAAUAAUAUGAACGUUCGCGAUGUGGGACACUUUUAUGAGGGAAGAUUUUAUCAACGAUACGUCACUCGAACGGUUGGCUCAGUUGGAAGAGCACUCGCACGGAACGCGAGAGGGUUCGAGACCCGCUUCGUAAAUUUUUUUUUUCGAAUUUUAUUUGUGUAACCAUUAUUUAUGUCAUUGUCAUUCAUUAAUUCCUGGAAAAUUUUAUACUAAUGUUGUUAGACUGGACUGAAAUGUAAUAAUAAGCUAUUAUUAAAAAAAUAGUUGAUGCAAUCAUGCAUGCAUCCAUAUCAAUGGAUUAUCCAUUUAUUGUUGGUCUACUAUAAGUGUGUGUUGUAUUUUUGUUGGGUCUGAUAGAUAAUCGAAAUAUUUGUAACAAAAGUAUAACACCUAAAUGUAUAUUGUGCUAUUUUCAUUUCAAUAAUCGUGCUUAUUUAAUAUUGACAGUAGCUGUUAAAUCGAAUAAUAAAGCUAUUGUCAAACAGACAGCGAACCGAAUGCGUGGCGAAGCGUUUUCAUUUUGUUAUUUAGGCUGCAUUUAGCGCUCGACCGACGGUCAGCGCUGACGUCGGUCGAGAGUAGCGCGUACCGUACGCGCUGACCAUGUUGUGUUUAGUGCUCAGGUGACAGCAAAUUUAUUAGCGCGUGUACGAUUGCGAAGCAAAAUGAAUCCAUUUUAAACCUCAUUAAUAUAUACUACUUACCCAAACAAUUACGGAUAAAAAGACCGAGAAGAUAUGAUGUUUACCUAAUUAUUAUAGAGCGUCAAAUUGAAGGAGAAUUUUAUACAGUAUCUUCGAACAUGCCAGAACACAAAUAUUUGUAUGCACGCGCGUGCGGUGCAUUGGCUCGGUGAGCGUCGUACUGAACGCAUUAAUUUAUCGCCUUGAUAUGAUAUGAUUUUCGUUAGCGUGACGUAGCUCUACGCGCGUAGCAAUUUAUCAGCGCUGGACUGAAUGCUCUCAUAUGUUUUCAUGGUUAUAGCUACGCUCGACCGACGAUUCACGUCAGCGUGACGUAGCUUUACGCGCGUAGCAAUUCAUCAGCGCGGAGCUGAACGCUCUCAUAUGUUUUCAUAGUUAUUGCUACGCUCGACCGACGAUUUACGUCAGCGUGACGUAGCUCGACGCGCGUAGCAAUUCAUCAGCGCUGGACGAAUGCUCUCAUAUGUUUUCAUAGUUAUAGCUACGCUGGACCACAAUUCUCGUCACAGUGACGUAGCUCUACGCGCGUAGCAAUUCAUCAGCGCUGGACUGAACGCUCUCAUAUGUUUUUAUACUUAUAGCUACGCUCGACUGUCGGUCGAGCACUAAAUGCAGCCGUAUAGUAUCGUUUGGAUCUAGUCAGAUAGACAAACGAAAUCAAACCGAAUUCGUGGCGAACCGAAAGGCAUGUCACGCCAGGACAAACCAAACCGUUUUCACGACGUAAAACAGAGAGCGAAUGCGAGACGCGAAGCCCGACGGUUGUGUUUAUUUACAAAACUUUGACACGAGUGGCGUCCCUUUCGGUUUUCUGUGCCUACUUUGUAGUUUGACGUCUCCGCUUCGGUUCGAAUUUUCCUUGCUUUCAGUUCGGUUCCGUUCGCGUCUAUGUUUGACAAUACCUUAAAUAAGUUAUGUUUUUUUUUUUUUAACAAGAUACUAUUUAGAUAGUUUGUUGUUGUUAUUCUUAGUUAUGCGACUACAAAUUGAUCGCCUUCUUCUCAUAGUGCGACCACGAGGCAGCAAACUGUAAAUUUAUAAGAUAUAGCCGAUAGUGGUGAGAUUCAUGUUGUACCGGGGUCACAAUAUAUAGAGGUAUUAUAUUAUAAAGGUUUAUUACAAA